GGAAGCAGAACUCGAGUGGUUGAGUGUCUCCCUUUUAAGGAGAAAGUUCCGGUUCAAGUCCGGGUGUUUUCA
rnacentral:tRNA from 1 species